UUAGUUAGUUGGUGGGGUAAAGGCCUACCAAGACAAUGAUGCAUAGCCGAGUUGAGAGACUGAUCGGCCACAUUGGGACUGAGACACGGCCCAAACUCCUACGGGAGGCUGCAGUAGGGAAUCUUCCACAAUGGGCGAAAGCCUGAUGGAGCAACGCCGCGUGUGUGAUGAAGGCUUUCGGGUCGUAAAGCACUGUUGUAUGGGAAGAAAAGUUAAGGUAGGGAAUGACCUUAGCCUGACGGUACCAUACCAGAAAGGGACGGCUAAAUACGUGCCAGCAGCCGCGGUAAUACGUAUGUCCCGAGCGUUAUCCGGAUUUAUUGGGCGUAAAGCGAGCGCAGACGGUUGGUUAAGUCUGAUGUGAAAGCCCGGAGCUCAACUCCGGAAAGGCAUUGGAAACUGGUUAACUUGAGUGCAGUAGAGGUAAGUGGAACUCCAUGUGUAGCGGUGGAAUGCGUAGAUAUAUGGAAGAACACCAGCGGCGAAGGCGGCUUACUGGACUGUAACUGACGUUGAGGCUCGAAAGUGUGGGUAGCAAACAGGAUUAGAUACCCUGGUAGUCCACACCGUAAACGAUGAACACUAGGUGUUAGGAGGUUUCCGCCUCUUAGUGCCGAAGCUAACGCAUUAAGUGUUCCGCCUGGGGAGUACGACCGCAAGGUUGAAACUCAAAGGAAUUGACGGGGACCCGCACAAGCGGUGGAGCAUGUGGUUUAAUUCGAAGCAACGCGAAGAACCUUACCAGGUCUUGACAUCCUUUGAAGCUUUUAGAAAUAGAAGUGUUCUCUUCGGAGACAAAGUGACAGGUGGUGCAUGGUCGUCGUCAGCUCGUGUCGUGAGAUGUUGGGUUAAGUCCCGCAACGAGCGCAACCCUUAUUGUUAGUUGCCAGCAUUCAGAUGGGCACUCUAGCGAGACUGCCGGUGACAAACCGGAGGAAGGCGGGGACGACGUCAGAUCAUCAUGCCCCUUAUGACCUGGGCUACACACGUGCUACAAUGGCGUAUACAACGAGUUGCCAACCUGCGAAGGUGAGCUAAUCUCUUAAAGUACGUCUCAGUUCGGACUGCAGUCUGCAACUCGACUGCACGAAGUCGGAAUCGCUAGUAAUCGCGGAUCAGCACGCCGCGGUGAAUACGUUCCCGGGUCUUGUACACACCGCCCGUCACACCAUGGAAGUUUGUAAUGCCCAAAGCCGGUGGCCUAACCGUAAGGAGGAACCGUCUA
rnacentral:rRNA from 1 species